rnacentral:rRNA from 1 species
AAGAAUUUAAUUUUGGUUCCGAUUGAACGUUUUUCAGUAGUUUAAGACAUGCAAAUCGUUGUUUCCAAAGUCCUUAUAAAUUAAUAUUUUUAAUAUUAAUGGGAUCAGGGGAUAAGGUGUAGAGGUGAGUAUGUUAAAUAAGAUACCCUGUAGUCUUCUUAGCUAGGAGAUAUAAAGUAAAGGAAAAUUUCUGCUAUAGGAUUCUAUUUAAUUUGAUUAGGUAGUUGAUAGGGUAACGGCCUACCAAGCCAACGAUCAAAAGUCAAGUUUGAAAGAACCUCUGGCCACAUUGGGGAUGAAAUCUCCCAAGUAGUAAUUACACUACCAGCAGUCGAGAAUAUUAGUCAAUGCUCGUAAGAGUGAACUAGCUAACUGAAAUCAUAGAAUUUCUUCAAAUUCAUGAUGUCGUAAGGGAAAAUAAUGAUAAUACCUUACUAUGAGUGUCGUCCAAAUCUGGUGCCAGAAGACUCGGUAAGACCAGAGACGCAAACGUUAAUCAUCAUAAACAGGCGUAAAGGGUUUGUAGGCAGCUUUUAUAAGAUAAUAAAAAUCUAAAUUGAAAGCUAGAAUCAAAAAGAGGUUAUAGUGUAUAACGCCUAGAGGAGGGCUGAUAUCCAUAGAUCCUAGGCAGAAUACUCAGGGCGAAGGCCACUCUCCACUAAUGAUUGACGCUGAGAAACGAAGGUUAGGGUAGGAAAUAGGAUGUUAGAUACCCCGGUACUCCUUUCUGUAAACGAUGAAUGGUAGUCAUUAGUUUUAAUAAAUAACUAGAGGCGAAGUUAACACAAUAACCAUUCCGCCUUGUGAGUACUACUGCAAAGUAGAAAACAAAAAAAUUAGUCGGUCUCGAAGCAAACGGAGUGAAGCAUGUUAUUUAAUACGAUAAUCCGCGUAAAACCUUACCAGAACUUGCAUACAAACUAUAAAAUUUCCUACCUGAAAAGGUAAAGAAAAUAUUAGGAGUGUUUAAAAUUUAAAUACUUAAGUACAGGUGUUGCAUGGCUGUCUUCAGUUCGUGUUGUUAAACAUUAGGUUAAUUCCACUAACGAACGAAAUCCCUGUUAUUAAUUUAUACUUAAUAACUAAUAAAUCUGAUAGAGAUUUAGCGGGGGCUAAGACAAGUCGUUAUGGCCCUCAUGUUCUGGGCUAUAGACGUGCCACAAAAACUUUUACAAAGUGAUGCGAUACUUCCCAAUAGAAGUGGAGCUAAUCAUUAAAAAAAGUUAUUUAUAUUAAAAAUAAGCCGGAUUGUCUCCUGUAAUUCGGAGGCAUGAAGAAGGAAUUCCGAGUAAUCGUUGAUAAGUAGCGCAACGGUGAAGCUAGUUUCGUGAUGAACUAACUGUCUGUCGCUGGGAAGAAGCUUUUAGUGGAGGAAACUGGAGUAAGAUUAUGUUUUUUCAUAGUAACUCAUUGCUUUAAGUAAAGUAUUUUUAGUAUUAUGAUAAACUUAUUGGAUUUAGUGAAUUCAUUAAGGUAACAUCUCAAAAGUCAUAGCAUGGUAGCUGUACUGGAAAGUGCAGCUGGAUAAUAAUUAAUUUGUAAC